CUGAAUAAUCAAUUAGGAUCAUUGAAUUUGGAUCAUUGAAUUUGGAUCAAUUCAAUUCAGGUCUUUCAAUUCGGAUCAUUCAGUUAGGAUCAUUUAAAUCGGGUCAAAUCAAUUCUGAAUAAUCAAUUAGGAUCAUUGAAUUUGGAUCAUUGAAUUUGGAUCAAUUCAAUUCAGGUCUUUCAAUUCGGAUCAUUCAGUUGGGAUCACUUAAUUCGGAUCAAUUCAAUUCGGGUCUUUCAAUUCGGAUCAUUCAGUUAGGAUCAUUUAAGUCGGAUCAAUUCAAUUCGAAUCAACUAAUUCGGAUCAUUCAGUUAGGAUCAUUUAAGUCUGAUCAAUUCAAUUCGAAUCUACUAAUUCGGAUCAAUCAAUUUGGAUCAUUCAAUUAAGGUCAUUUAAUUAGGAUCAGUCAGUUGGGAUCAUUCAAUUCAGAUCACUUAAUUCGGGUCAUUCAGUUAGGAUCAUUCAAUUCGGGUUACUUAAUUCGGAUCAUUCAAUGUGGAUAAUUUCUUUGCAUCUUUGCUCCUAUGGAAAAGAUUUAUGAAGGUAUUACGAUACAAGAGAUACAAAAGAAAAGGAACUGCUCUUAUUUUUUCUAGAGUCCAGUCGAUGAACCCUGAACGAUAUGUUGAAGAGAAACGAAGGACUGUGCACGAGGUGAGAAAUUGCUUCGAGGAUGGGUUGCAAGACUAGCAUGUUAGAAUGUAUAGAAGACAGAGGGGAGGCGGAAAAGAGGAAGCAAUCAGAUAUGCUGGAGCAAGGAACCUUACUCGGUAAUAACUAUAUAUCAUAAGAUAAAUUUCCCGGUAUUUUGGCCUUUUUCAUUGGCAAAUACAUUAUAUGUAACCUUUUUCUACAAACUUUUCUUUAUGGAUUAAGUAUUGUCGUCUUAUUCCUCUACUUUGUUCUCGCGUAUGAUAUUCAAUUCGAGACUAUUGAUACUUUUGGCUUCCUAUUUCCUUAACCGUGUACCCUUCUAUUUAUUCAUUUUAUUCGACCAUCGACUUCUUUUCAUUCCACUUAAAAAAGUCAAAAUAGUGAUAGCUUUAUAGUAACAUUGUGCUUCUACCGAUUUGUUAAAUAAUUAAAAGCUUAACUCUUUUCAAGAAGACUCGUAAAGGAUCUAUACUAAAUUUUCAAACGAUUAAAAAGUUCUGUCAAUCUUUUUUUGUUUUCUAAACAAUUAAUUCUCUCUCUCAAAAAAGGGGGAAAGAAAUACUUAUAAAAGAUCUUCAUUUACUUUUGAAAGGAUUAAAAAUUUCUCAACAAUCUGUUCUUUUUAAGGCAGACGUAAAAAGUAGUCAUGUUUACAUCUACAUGAUGUGAAAAAUCUAUUCAUUCGUUCCCAAAACUCGAUAUACAAAUAUUCCCUCCUCAAUUUCACAACUCUACGAAUCAAAUACGCUAAUUCGCUCUGUUUUCCUCUACAAUUAAACCCAACAUCCAAUCAACAAGUUCAAGCCAAGCAUUCUCUUAAUUACACGACAAAUCGAGCCACUUAACACAACGAUCUCUCGUAAUAAUUCCAAGGCAGAUUACACGAUACGCACUCUCCGAAUGGUUAAUCGAGUUUACUGAUUUAUCUCGUGCAUCUCCAGUGACACUCGAGAAUAAAAAAGGAAACGAGAAAAAAUAGAUAGAAAGAAAGAAAGGGAGGAAGAGAAUUCUACUCGAGAUUGUUUAUCGAACACGGGAUCAGGGGAUCUGAUGAUCUUGGAUGUCUAGUGCGUACUGGGACAGGAAAGAUUCGAAGUUGAAGGCGUACAACGAUCGGUGAAG